rnacentral:tRNA from 4 species
GCUGGUGUAACUCAGUCGGUAGAGUAGUUGAUUUGUAAUCAACCUGUCGCAGGUUCAAAUCCUGUCACCAGCU